rnacentral:rRNA from 1 species
UACUCGAGUGGCGAAUGGGUGAGUAACACGUGGGUGAUCUGCCCUGCACUUCGGGAUAAGCCUGGGAAACUGGGUCUAAUACCGGAUAGGAGCCAUUUUUAGUGUGAUGGUUGGAAAGUUUUUUCGGUGUAGGAUGAGCUCGCGGCCUAUCAGCUUGUUGGUGGGGUAAUGGCCUACCAAGGCGGCGACGGGUAGCCGGCCUGAGAGGGUGGACGGCCACAUUGGGACUGAGAUACGGCCCAG